rnacentral:rRNA from 1 species
GUGGGGGAUAUUGGACAAUGGGGGAAACCCUGAUCCAGCGACGCCGCGUGAGUGAAGAAGUAUUUCGGUAUGUAAAGCUCUAUCAGCAGGGAAGAAAGAAAUGACGGUACCUGAGUAAGAAGCCCCGGCUAACUACGUGCCAGCAGCCGCGGUAAUACGUAGGGGGCAAGCGUUAUCCGGAAUUACUGGGUGUAAAGGGAGCGUAGACGGUAAUGCAAGUCUGGAGUGAAAGGCGGGGGCCCAACCCCCGGACUGCUCUGGAAACUGUGUAACUGGAGUGCAGGAGAGGCAGGCGGAAUUCCUAGUGUAGCGGUGAAAUGCGUAGAUAUUAGGAGGAACACCAGUGGCGAAGGCGGCCUGCUGGACUGUAACUGACGUUGAGGCUCGAAAGCGUGGGGAGCAAACAGGAUUAGAUACCCGAGUAGUCC